rnacentral:lncRNA from 1 species
ACUCACGUUAUGCGGCCGUUCCUGAUACUUCAACACGGCCCUUGUGGGCGAAUGUGUGGAAUCUCGGAACAAGCGGAGUGGGGAACAGGGCUCUGCGGUGAAGCCCAGGCUGAGGCAGCCCCUCAUCUGCUCACGGUGCCAGGAGCUCCCUGCCUCCUGGUCCUGAGGAGCCGCGGGAUUCCUCAGGGACACUAGGGCCUCUGCAGCGGCGCCUGCGCCAGGCAGCCACGCGCGCUGCGCACGAAUUCUGUCUCAGCCUGGAGAAAAACACCUCCGCUGCGCCCUCGCCCAGCACCAGCUUUCCGCGGGGCGUGCAAGGGGCUCCUCCUAGCCCCACAGCCCUGUCUUUCCACGGGGGACACCAAGGCCCUGGAACGGCCCGCGCGCCAGCGCUCUCGCCCGUGUUUAACGAGAACUUAAUCCCCGUGCCCGUUACCUCCCCGAAGUCCCGGGACUAGGUGACUAGGCCCCGAAGCAAGAGUCGCAGUCGGACCGACUGGGCCGGGGAG